UACGUAGGGGGCAAGCGUUGUCCGGAAUCAUUGGGCGUAAAGAGCGCGUAGGCGGCCCUGUAAGUCCGCUGUGAAAGUCAAGGGCUCAACCCUUGGAUGCCGGUGGAUACUGCAGGGCUAGAGUCCGGAAGAGGCGAGUGGAAUUCCUGGUGUAGCGGUGAAAUGCGCAGAUAUCAGGAGGAACACCGGUGGCGAAGGCGGGACUCUGGGCCGAUACUGACGCUGAGGAGCGAAAGCGUGGGGAGCAAACAGG
rnacentral:rRNA from 1 species